AAGCCAGACUCCUACGGGAGGCAGCAGUGGGGGAUAUUGCACAAUGGGGGGAACCCUGAUGCAGCGACGCCGCGUGGGUGAAGGAGCGUUUCGGCGCGUAAAGCCCUAUCGGCAGGGAAGAAGGAGGACGGUACCUGACUAAGAAGCCCCGGCUAACUACGUGCCAGCAGCCGCGGUAAUACGUAGGGGGCAAGCGUUAUCCGGAUUUACUGGGUGUAAAGGGGGCGCAGACGGCGAUGCAAGCCAGGAGUGAAAGCCCGGGGCCCAACCCCGGGACUGCUCUUGGAACUGCGUGGCUAGAGUGCAGGAGGGGCAGGCGGAAUUCCUGGUGUAGCGGUGAAAUGCGUAGAUAUCAGGAGGAACACCGGUGGCGAAGGCGGCCUGCUGGACUGCAACUGACGUUGAGGCCCGAAAGCGUGGGGAGCAAACAGGAUUAGAUACCCCUGUAC
rnacentral:rRNA from 1 species